rnacentral:rRNA from 1 species
AUUGAACGCUGGCGGCAGGCCUAACACAUGCAAGUCGAACGAGUGGCGGACGGGUGAGUAAUGACUGGGAAACUGCCUGAUGGAGGGGGAUAACUACUGGAAACGGUAGCUAAUACCGCAUACAAUCGGAUGUGCCCAGAUGGGAGUAGCUAGUAGGUGGGGUAAAGGCGCACCUAGGCUACGAUCCCUAGCUGGUCUGAGAGGAUUACCAGUCACACUGGAACUUAGACACUCUCCCGACUCGUACGGGAGGCAGCAUUGGGCAAUAUUGCACCAUUGGCGCACGCCUGAUGCAGACAUGCCGCGUGUAUGAUGAAGGCCUUCGGGUUGUCAAGUACUUUCAGCGGGGAGGCGUUACCCGCAGAAGAAGCACCGGCUAAAUCCGUGCCAGCAGCCGCGGUAAUAC